rnacentral:rRNA from 1 species
GACGAACGCUGGCGGCGUGCCUAAUACAUGCAAGUUGAGCGAUGAAGAUUGGUGCUUGCCCCAAUUUGAAGAGCAGCGAACGGGUGAGUAACGCGUGGGGAAUCUGCCUUUGAGCGGGGGACAACAUUUGGAAACGAAUGCUAAUACCGCAUAACAACUUUAAACAUAAGUUUUAAGUUUGAAAGAUGCAAUUGCAUCACUCAAAGAUGAUCCCGCGUUGUAUUAGCUAGUUGGUGAGGUAAAGGCUCACCAAGGCGAUGAUACAUAGCCGACCUGAGAGGGUGGUCGGCCACAUUGGGACUGAGACACGGCCCAAACUCCUACAGGAGGCAGCAGUAGGGAAUCUUCGGCAAUGGACGAAAGGCUGACCGAGCAACGCCGCGGGAGGGAAGAAGGUUUUCGGAUCGGAAAACUCUGUUGGUAGAGAAGAACGUUGGUGAGAGUGGAAAGCUCAUCAAGUGACGGUAACUACCCAGAAAGGGACGGCUAACUACGUG